rnacentral:rRNA from 1 species
GAUGAACGCUGGCGGCGUGCUUAACACAUGCAAGUCGAACGGUAAGGCCCUUCGGGGUACACGAGUGGCGAACGGGUGAGUAACACGUGGGUGAUCUGCCCUGCACUUCGGGAUAAGCCUGGGAAACUGGGUCUAAUACCGGAUAGGACUCCUGGCUUCAUGGUUGGGGGUGGAAAGCUUUUGCGGUGUGGGAUGGGCCCGCGGCCUAUCAGCUUGUUGGUGGGGUAAUGGCCUACCAAGGCGACGACGGGUAGCCGGCCUGAGAGGGUGACCGGUCACACUGGGACUGAGAUACGGCCCAGACUCCUACGGGAGGAAGCAGUGGGGAAUAUUGCACAAUGGGAGCAAGCCGGAUGCAGCGACGCCGCGUGAGGGAUGACGGCCUUCGGGUUGUAAACCUCUUUCAGCUAUGACGAAGCGCAAGUGACGGUAGUAGCAGAAGAAGGACCGGCCAACUACGUGCCAGCCGCCGCCGUAA